AAUUGUCUCUGCUGCUGGGGAAAAGGUUCGUGAAGCUGCACCCCGAGUAAAGCAGCUGCUCACCUGCCAAGCAAGCUAUCAGCACAGCAUUUGCAUUGGAACUGAGAGAAAAAUCCCCAAGGAGCGUGUCUGGGCAGGUGAUUCCAUUGUCCUUAUUACUCAAGCAGCUAUUUCCACAGCCAUAGGCUUGCGACAGCACCUGGCAGCAGCUUCAUGGAGCGAUCCGAGAGUUACAAAACGCCUUCACAACAGCGGACAGAACCGCUCCAUUCAGCCCUCCUCAGCUGAGCUCCCUUUGGCUCCCACCCCCAAGCCACCCCCCUGGAACAGCCCUCCCCAUAUCACAAGGCCGCUCAGAUCACGCCAACAGAACCCAAACCCAAGGAAAUCACAAUAGGAUUCGAAAGCACUCAGGAAAGAGGCCAACCAGUGUUUUUUUCAUGGACAUUAAUAACAGCAGAACCAGGCCAUAAACCCAAUGCCAUAAUCCCCCAACCUUUACUCAGGUGUAGACGUAUGGACUGUGGCUUCACAUAUGUUUGCACAGCGCAUAACAGGCUGAAGGCAGCAUGGAGUAAUAAUUAUUUUAUUCCAGUCUAACACAGAGGACGUGGGCAACAUCCACCAGCACAGGACCCUGAGCACACAGAUAUAGUUGCCACUGCACUAACCAACCAGGGAAGCCAGCAUUUUCUCUCCCUGACAGAGCCGUAAUAAGGCAGGGGACCUGGGGAAGACAAAAAAGAAUGGAGCAGACAUGAACAGCAUCUCAGCACAAGAAAAGCAAAAGGAAAUGCAUCUUUUCCUCUCCCACUGCACGUAACAUUCCCUCACGCUGAGGAUUUGGUACACAUGGGCAAGUAGAGCCAAAGAAAUUUGCUUAACAUUGUGGUGCAGAAAUGACAUGGUGCCACAGCUGUGCAUCUCUGUGCAGAGCCGAGCUGCCAGUGCAGAGCCACAUUCUGUAUUGGAGUGCACAAGUCUGUAUUUCUAACCCCAGCUUCAUCAUGCUCCUCAAUCCUGUGUCUUUACUAGAAGUUUAAGAGCCCCUCAACUGAGAAAGCAGAAGUCCUAUUUGCAAAUGAACAUUUUAGCACUUAGGAAAUUGUCUAAUUAUAAGAACACAGAGCUUGAUGAAUAAAUGCCCCACGAGGGAAGUAAAGAGGACAAUGACAGGCUCUCCUCAGUGGUAUCCCAAGGGGCAAAGGGUAUUUUACAAUAAAGAAAACUCCAUUUAACCACAAAAAAAAACCAAAGUUGUUUUACUGUGAAGAUGGUCAAACACUGGAACAGGUUGCUCAGAGAGGUUGUGGAAUCUUCAUCCUUGGAGAUAUUCAGCAUGGGCAAGAUUGAACUGCUUUUGUCACCUCUCCUUUGAGCUGCAUGGGAAGGGGGAGGUGAACUAGAAGACCUUCAGAGGUCCCCACCAACCUCAGUAAAGUGGGGAUUGUGGCAAGCAUUCCCUGCAUUCUUUGUCCCCAGGAUACUGCCAUAAAACUGAAAAUGCAGCACUGCGUGGUAUGUCCCACUGCACCAGUAUGACUUGCCCAGGUCAGACAUCUCCAUGAAAGCGUGUGAGUGCAAAGUCAGACUAUAAGGGAUCAGAGGAUCUGCAUGAACUAAAUGCCUUCCUCAUCAAAAGAAAUGCAGAAAUCCAGGGAAACUAAACAAAAAGUUAACAAUGUGAAUGUUAGUUUGAAUAUUUAUAUAGACUUGUCCCUUCCGUGCUCACACCUCUCACAUUAGCUUGCCAUGAGCUUUGGAAAGAUCAGAUUUUACUGGCAGAAGUGCCCAUGGAAAGCAAAAUUUACAUUUAUGUUUACUUCGGAGAUGUUUACACACUCAGCCAGUCAAGGAGACAAUAACAAUAUUAUGUGUAUUCUCUAGUAAAUUUCAGCUAACUGAUAUGAUCUGGGUACUGAUUUCUUUUUAUGUUAUGUUCAGUCAGUGC
ensembl:lncRNA